GUCGAGCGGACAGAAGGGAGCUUGCUCCCGGAUGUUAGCGGCGGACGGGUGAGUAACACGUGGGUAACCUGCCUGUAAGACUGGGAUAACUCCGGGAAACCGGAGCUAAUACCGGAUAGUUCCUUGAACCGCAUGGUUCAAGGAUGAAAGACGGUUUCGGCUGUCACUUACAGAUGGACCCGCGGCGCAUUAGCUAGUUGGUGGGGUAAUGGCUCACCAAGGCGACGAUGCGUAGCCGACCUGAGAGGGUGAUCGGCCACACUGGGACUGAGACACGGCCCAGACUCCUACGGGAGGCAGCAGUAGGGAAUCUUCCGCAAUGGACGAAAGUCUGACGGAGCAACGCCGCGUGAGUGAUGAAGGUUUUCGGAUCGUAAAGCUCUGUUGUUAGGGAAGAACAAGUGCGAGAGUAACUGCUCGCACCUUGACGGUACCUAACCAGAAAGCCACGGCUAACUACGUGCCAGCAGCCGCGGUAAUACGUAGGUGGCAAGCGUUGUCCGGAAUUAUUGGGCGUAGAGGGCUCGCAGGCGGUUUCUUAAGUCUGAUGUGAAAGCCCCCGGCUCAACCGGGGAGGGUCAUUGGAAACUGGGAAACUUGAGUGCAGAAGAGGAGAG
rnacentral:rRNA from 1 species